AGAUACAUUACUGGGCAACUCAGCUUUGGCAGUAUGUUACUCAAGGCUGCUCAUAGGUCGUCGGCUUAUGAGACGGUAAUCAGUGGUAAUCUUAUUGCCAAAGGAGAUUUGCCCAGCGAUUCAGCU
rnacentral:pre_miRNA from 1 species